rnacentral:lncRNA from 1 species
CUGUUAUGUUGAGAAUAAACCCAAUGGGGCAAGGACAAGGAGACUCCAGGUUCAUCAUGUAUACAGUCCACAUUACAUGCAGAUAGAAUUUGUUCAAAAAUAAUUUCUGACAUGAAAGUUGGGCUUCAGAGGUUGAUUAAAUGAGGACAGAGCAUCAAAAAAUCAAAGACAAUUACAGAUAUUUACAUUAUUCUGUGGAAUGAAUAUACCACAAUUUGGUUUAAGGACAUUUGGGUCAAGAAUAUCUCGAUUAUUUCCAAUUUGGAGAAAUGAUGAAUAAAAAUGCUAUGAAAAGAAGUGACAUCAGCAAAAUAUUUUAUUGGAAGACUUUAGUGCUUCUCCUGACAACAAAAACAGCCAAAACAGCUGAUUAACAACUACAUUUUAACAAAAAUAAUUAAAGAGAGCAUGAGCGUAUGUCAAAGGAGUAACAGAAACCCUGGUCUACACAGAAAUUCAGGAUAACCACAUAGAGAACAGAAGAAAACAUCUGUCUUCCACUACCCCAUUCCCCAAGCAGGAUCAGCCGGGAACCAGGAGGCAUUAUCUUUAUAGAGAAAAGAUAAGCAAGAGGAACCCAGCUGCCCCCGUCAAUACCAUGGACAACUAUAGUCCAUGCCACUGAGGUCACCUGCAGUCCUCACAGGUAUUAAGCCCAGCUGAGGGAGCUGCCUGAGGUCUACACAACUGUGCUCCCAACACAGAAGCAGCCAAUCCUGGGUCCCACCCUCUGUGGCCUGUGCAGCUACUGUCCUCUGCCAUCUAGGAAAUAGAACUACUGCUGGAGUGUGUUAUGCUAAGGGGGCAAGAGCCCAUAGCACCCCUUCAUCCUUGAGGCAAGGCUGCUGCCAAACCACCCCCAUUCAAUGGUGCAAUAUCACCAGACUAAGCUGCAACCUGCUGUUACAUGGGGCCAAGUGGCAGUGGAGCUGCUACACCUAUUUACCCCUCUUAGUCCCCAGGCACAGCUGUACCCAGACCCCUGAGGUUGGGGCUGAAGAUGUAUACUCUUCUGGGGAAAGUGUGCUUGGCAUAACUGUUUCACCUACCUCUCUUAGAUGUGACUGUGCCCAGCCUCUAAGGGUCUAAGCUGAAGCCGAAUGCUGCCACCUGGGAAAAAAGUGUCUUGGCAGAACUCCU